UCUCAACGUGCAACUUCGUGUUAGGGCUCCUAGAGGUCUGCAGAAUUUGUAUUAGUAUCAGGACAAUGAAGCUGGGCCAAAACCAUGCUCAGACACUGGCUGCUCAACAAACAUUAGCAAAGUCCGUGAAGUUGACAACCGGAUCUGACGUAGAUCUACUCAAAUAUGAUGUAUCUUCUUCGUCGCACACUCAUCUCAUUCGCCAUCGGUAGACGCAAAGCAGGGAGUCAGUACUCGGUGUCCAGGCACCAGACCGGAGCUAGGAGUGUCGAGUUAGCUCUUGUUUUGUCAAGCCAACCU